rnacentral:misc_RNA from 1 species
GAAAUGCGAUAAGUAGUGUGAAUUGCAGAAUUCAGUGAAUCAUCGAAUCUUUGAACGCACAUUGCGCCCCUUGGUAUUCCAUGGGGCAUGCCUGUUCGAGCGUCAUUUGUACCUUCAAGCUUUGCUUGGUGUUGGGUGUUUGUCUCGCCUCUGCGCGCAGACUCGCCUCAAAACAAUUGGCAGCCGGCGUAUUGAUUUCGGAGCGCAGUACAUCUCGCGCUUUGCACUCAUAACGACGACGUCCAAAAAGUACAUUUUUUACACUCUUGACCUCGGAUCAGGUAGGGAUACCCGCUGAACUUAAGC